ensembl:miRNA mdo-mir-130c-1 mdo-mir-130c-1
GCCCUUUUUAUGUUGUACUACUAGUGAUCCUGCACAAGAAGCAGUGCAAUGUUAAAAGGGCAU